CCACCACACAGCCCCCCCGCACCAUCUGAAUACCACCAUCUUGUACAGUCUGCGCAACUAGACUAUGAUAUAAAAAUGUGCCGAGGGAUGGCUUCCAGUCUGUCUCCUCAGAGAAAGGUCCUUCUCACACCCUUGAGCGUAGCCUUUUUCCUGCACAGAUGGAAACGUACAUGUACAGAAUUAUAACACAAGAACCUUGCUGUAGAAAGUGAUUGCUUAAAUUCUUCUGCCAAUGGUUCGUUAGAUUCUGCUUGCCGUGGACAAAUUAUGGUGGAGCCAAGUGGCUGCCAGGAUGACGGUGUGAAGGUGUGACCCAACUGCUAUCUUACAAAUACUCCUAGCUCUUUCCGAAGGUUUGGCGUUGGAAGUAUCCCGGUGCUGAUGAGAAGAUUCCGAAAGGCGGUUGCUUAUCUCUCUCCCUCAAAGGCUUCCAACAUCAGGUGUAGAAGCCUUGCUAGAAGCCUUUGUGGGAGAGGGGGAAACAAACGCCUUGCAUUAUUGCCGUUCACUAGCAACGAAGCACGCAGUCUCUCAACAUUGUAGGGGCUCACGUAGAGCAUAUAGGAAAGUCUUCCUACUUCUAGCGGAGAUAGGCCUGUCCUCUGCAUCAGUAGUCUUCUGUGAACUCCAUGUUUGCACUCACUGACUCGAACUGGAGAUUGAAACCAGAAGCUGUAUUCCAAGACCUUUGUCGGUAAGAUACAGCCUUGCGGUUUGUGCUAGCAUAAGCUUCGUACACUGUUCAGGCGUUUAUGGACCUUGACAAUAGAUGAGGAAUUAAUCAGAACUAUAUAACGAGAAGAUGCUGAGUAGAGGAGAGCACCUGUUGCGAACGUGGAAGAGUAGAAAUCUUCAGUUUCUACUGUUCUCGGUUCUAAUUUGUUAGGACUCUCAAAGUGAAGAGCACUCAAGGAGAUAUGAACCACAGACCGAUAGUUCGUGCUCGACCUUACCCUUCAGUGAUUUUUGGCUGACAAUCACGCGUAGUGAUAGACCCACUAGAGCAUCAGUUUCUCAUUAUUCGAAUUAUCAUGAAUUUUUUCUCUUUCUAAAUGCUUAUUUCAUUUUUUUAAGAGUU